rnacentral:lncRNA from 1 species
GGACGACUAGCCAGCUUCGAGAAUCCAUCACUUUCCCCGUUUUCACCGGGUGUAUGCACACCGGAAGAUGGUCGGCUAAGUGCGAGUGCUAGCGAGAUGCGUUCACAAGUUUCGCAGCCAGUUCCGCUCCGUUGCAAUGACCCUGGCUUACCAUAAAAUACCCACCGCAAUAGAGGAAAAACCGAAUACAGUUUUGAACGCAGCCAAGCCUUCGGCACACGCGCCGUGAAAAAUAGAGAGGAGCAGGUCUUCUGUUCGGUAGACAUUUCACACAUGACCCGGAAGCGUGGACGACCAGGUGUCACGUUUCGGGAAAUUCUCCCCGCCGGACUGCGGAUUUCUACGAUCGGCCGUUACGCACGUUGGAACGCGGUCGCGUCGAACUCGAUUUUCGAAUUUGUUGCGUCGUACUAAAUGAGAAAGGCCACGAGGAAAACCCGGCAAGUGGCAAGGUGAACGGAGUAGCUGAGGCGAUCAACUGCGGAAUUAGCGGCUUGAUUGUCGAAGCAAGAAUGUCAAACAAUGAUGGACUCUCGGGUCUUACCUUCUACGUUUCCUGUGGAGAGUCACGGCAAACCCUCAAACUUUGCUGCGUGGCGCGUUUCCUCAGUCGAACGCAGUGAGACACUAUCAACGGAGGGAACCGUGGAGUGAGGGACGCUGCGCUGUGUGUUUGACGUUGUGUUCAAUUCUCGCAACCGGAAGCGGAGUGUGGUGUAUGGCACUUUUACAGGCGAUGAAAGAUGGAGUUAGCACCUGUAGGUGAGCGAAAUAGAAGCUGCCGACGAGCUGUUUUCGAGGGAAACACGGUACAAUGGGUGGCUGGAAAAAAAGCCGUUUUCCUGUGACGCGGCAAACGCAAACGGUGGGCGUACCCCUUUCAGAUCAUUAAAACGCACAGUGCUGAUGUCAAACCACUUCUCAGAGGGGCUAGUGCUGUGUUGACAGUUUCCAUCCUCAGCCAAAAACGCAGCCCCCUGAAGACGGCCGUCGUCCUGGCGGUAGGUAGCCAUUCUGGUGGGAGUUUAGGCUCCUGUGUAGCGAUGGUCGAAACUGUGGCGUUGGUGUACUAACGUCGACCAUCUGAAGAAUCGAUGUUGCCAGAAUUGGCAAAAACAGACAGACACUAGAAUCUGUUGCGGAC